rnacentral:rRNA from 1 species
GAUGAACGCUGGCGGCGUGCCUAAUACAUGCAAGUCGAGCGAAUGGAUUAAGAGCUUGCUCUUAUGAAGUUAGCGGCGGACGGGUGAGUAACACGUGGGUAACUUGCCCAUAAGACUGGGAUAACUCCGGGAAACCGGGGCUAAUACCGGAUAACAUUUUGAACCGCAUGGGUCGAAAUUGAAAGGCGGCUUCGGCUGUCACUUAGUGAUGGACCCGGGUCGCAUUAGCGAGUUGGUGAGGGAACGGCUCACCAAGGCAACGAUGCGUAGCCGACCGGAGAGGGUGAUCGGCCACACUGGGACUGAGACACGGCCCAGACUCCUACGGGAGGCAGCAGUAGGGAAUCUUCCGCAAUGGACGAAAGUCUGACGGAGCAACGCCGCGUGAGUGAUGAAGGCUUUCGGGUCGUAAAACUCUGUUGUUAGGGAAGAACAAGUGCUAGUUGAAUAAGCUGGCACCUUGACGGUACCUAACCAGAAAGCCACGGCUAACUACGUGCCAGCCGCCGCAGUAA